GGAUUAGGCUGUUCUACCGCCGCGGUAUUUGCCGGGGAGGAAAGUCCGGACAGCAUAGAGUACCGUACUUCCUAACGGGAAGGCAGCAGGUUGGGAACGAUGUGCUGACAGCAAGUGCCACAGAAAAUGAUACCGCCUGGCAUGUUUUUUGAUGUACCAGGUAAGGGUGAAAAGGUGGAGUAAGAGCCCACCGCUCUUCGGGUAACCGCAGAGGCACGGUAAACCUUACGGGCUGAAAGAUCAAAUAGGUGCUGGUUAGUGGGGUUACUCGUCCCCGUUUCUGAAAGGAAGCAUCAGCAUGGGUAGAUCGUUAGAGAUUCCGGGUGACCGGAAUCCUGGAUAAAUGGUAGAAAUCUUCCCGAAGCCUGGCUCUGGGAAGAACACAGAAUCCGGCUUACAGGCUUAAACCUUUU
rnacentral:RNase_P_RNA from 1 species